GUGAGUUCAAAGUAACAUACACUAAAAUUGGAACGAUGCAGAGAAGAUUAGCCUGGCCGCUGCGCAAGCAUGACACGCAAAUUCGUGGCGUGUUCCACAUUUUU